UUCACAUGACUGGCGAUAAAUAAGGUGGAUCUGACCACCGGGAAGUGUGAUUCAAGAUUGAAGCCGUUCGCCUGGGCGUCC
rnacentral:ncRNA from 1 species